GUGAAUGUCAAACCUAAGGGCUUUGUAUUUUCAAAUGAGUGCGAAGAUCUCUGCUCUGCUUUGGUGUGGACUUUUUUCCAAAUGUCUCUAUAAUGAUUCCAUUCAAAUCUCUUCGAAAACUCAACGCUCUUUCCUAGCCGCUGGGGAUAGGAAUCGGAAUCAGAGCCGGGCCUGAUGGGAGAGGCAGACCCGUGUGAGCGAACAGCCACAUACAGCAUGAGCCAUAGAUCGGUUCGUUUACCCAAAAAAUUCACCGAGCUCCAUGUUUGCCAGGACACUUGCCAUUGGAUUUAGGGCCCACCCAGGCAAUCCAGGAUGGUUUCAUCACAGGAUCCUUAAAUAUGCAAAAACUCCUUUUCCAAUUUCAGGAAAUCAGUUUAGUUGAUUCUUGCCAGCAUGAAAAACAAAGCAAAGCAAAAAAAAUGAACAAGCCAAAACAAAUCACUAAAGAGCAACAGAACGGGAAGGACCAGGCUCUCCUGCAUGGUAAAGAUUGGAGGCUCCUGGGCUGGAGACGGACAGAAGAGAUCCUAGCAUGGAGCUCUGUGGAGUACGUGCUUGAGAAAUAACUGUUUGAACCUGACAAACAUUUGAUCUGUCCACGUGGCCCCUGUGUUCUUCCCCGAUCUAAGAGAGAGAAAGUUGGACUCAAUGGCAAACACCUAUCAGUUCCAAAACCCUGUGCAUCUCCUUUCUCUGGUGUGAUGUGGUACAGGGAAAAGAGAGCUGGAUUUGGCAUCAGAUUUGGGUCCCAGUGGCCGCGAUCCUGCUUCCUGGCUGUGCGGAGUUAAGUGAGUUUAUUUCUCCGAGGCUCAGUUUCCUCAUCUCUAGAAUGGGAAUGAUAAGGGCAGUCUCAAAGUGUUGUCGAGAGAGCGUUAACGAGGUCAUGCAGGCACAGCAUCUAGGAUGUUGCCUGGCACACAGGGAGGACUGAAUGCAUUUAGCUAUUAUCAUUAUUAUUACAGUAUUAAUAACAUUAGUGUCUUUUAUGGGAUUUAAAAUAAAGAGAACUGGUUGGGUGAAUCCUUACAGUGUUAUGUUAAAACACCAGGAAAGAGUAAAUGCCGUUCUCUGCCAUCAGUCCACCAUCUUUCUCCUUCCAUUUCGGGGCCCAAAUUAUAUCCCAUUGUUACCGCAUAAUUCUGUUUUUUUUGGUCUGGUUUCCACCAUAUUUCACUUUGGUACAUAUUCCACAGAGUCUGACAAACGGCUGUAUGCAUGGUCGUGUGUUAGAAAAUAUAUAGCAUCCUGAAUGGAUCAUUUUUUAUUUAACCAACCUGUCUCCUAUGCAAAAUGAUCAGGAGGACAGUUUCCACCACUCUGACCCUUUAUCAGAGUGAUCUGAUGAGCCAUCGAGGUGUGUUCACGCUGAGCCGCUCCCCCCAAGUUUUCCAUUGACAGUACUGAGGAGAGCUUUCGGGGCUACACGGACAGGAACAAAGCCAUUUGGGGGCUGCUGGGAGCUGGGCCUGAAGAGGCACAGAGGGAUAGAGCAGAAAGAAGUAGGUCCUCCUUAUUGGGCAGCCAUCACGGAGCCGACACUGGCCACACACACAGCCAUCCUUCAGGCAGGAAUUUUUGUCUUCCAUUUUAAUGAGGAAACUCAGAUACGGAAAAAUGAAGUAGCUGUCUCAGAGUCAAGUGAAGGAAGCAUUGCUUGCUCAGAAAGUACGCUUCGUUUUCUGUAUAACUCAGUCCUCUCUGAGCCGUCUCAGACCAUUGGAUGACAGCUUUCACUCAUAUUUUCGUCUCCCUCUAGCCUCCCUGGGUGGGUCAAAAAGUCAUUCAUAACAUGCUUUCCAAGAUGAUAAGGCUUGAGGUAGGCUUUCAAAUUCAAAGAUUCAUUUGAACAGAAUGAAAAUAUGCCACCUGAUGCCUUACCCAGUGCUUGGAGUCCAUCUCCAAUAAAUCUCUUUCCGAUGGAAUCUCAUUUUAAGAAAUGUGCUUUUGCUUAAUUCACAGUCAGUAAAGUCACCCCUCCGUCUCUGCUUCUGCUACUUGGAAGAAUAUUGGGCUGAGAAGUCAGACACAAAUCCUUGGAGCGAAUCCACUUAGAAUUGCCCCACAAACGCAGACUUCCAUGACGGCCAAACAAAAAAAGAAAAGGAAUGAGAAACUCACUACCUUAAAGCCACCCACCGUAAUUCCUCUCUGCUAAAAACUGGAGUACCAUAUAAUUUCUGUUGAAAAUUUUGUUAUUUUUAAGACUGACAUACAGAAUGACAUUGAGUUUAAAAGUUCUUUCUUUGCCUUUCUCUAUUUUACCUCUAAACUGGUACAGAGAUAUUAGUAUAAACUCUCUCUCUCCAAUGAAUGAAUUGACUCAAUAAAGUUGAGUUAACUACCUACUCUAUAUUGUCAAUAAUUACUUUGACUUUUUCCACACACUUUGGUCUUCGAAUAACCUGUAUUCGUUUCCCCCAGUGGGGCUCUUGGGGCUGACAUAGCUCUUAAUGGCCCGGUGAGGGUGUAGUUGAUACGGUGUAGGUAAAAAUGAUCCAUCUAUUUCUGGUUUUCCCCUAAAAAUAACUUACACUAUGACGUCAGUGAUUACAGUGGAUGGCUCUGUUCUAAAAUGAAUUUUACAUUUAUUUUGCUACACGUGGUUCAGUUCCCAGCAAUGCCAUUACUGAGGUCGACUCGCAGAUUCAAUUCUGAGGAACAUGAACUGGUUUACAAGGCGGAAAGAGAGGCUUCAUUUGAUUUGUCAUCCUCACUUCCACUUGCCUCUUUACAGUCCUUCAGUUGGGAUGUUGUGUGACAGUUACCACCAGGCGAUCUCCCCUCUCCGUUUCCUCCUCCUGUACCCUGGAUAAAGCACAUAGGAGGUUUUCUGCACAGUAAAAUCUCCAUAUGUGCUUAUCCCUGGGUAGUUUAAAAAUCAGAGCCGGGGGGCACAUUUUUCUCUCCAUAAAUCACCACAGAAUCAGCCUCUGGCAGAUCAGCAGCUGGAGGAACUCCCAGCCAGUCCUGGGACUAUUCCUUUCUUCGUCAGGAGUGGCUUUCUACGCCCCGGGGCUACCCUCUCUGUUAUCAGAGGACACCAUGCAGUGGGCAGUGGGUUUUAAUUAACUCACCAAUGGUGCUGUCUCUUUCAUUCUCUGAAUGAUGUGGUGUGUGUUCUAGCAUAAGAUAUUCAUCUCCUCACCGUCUUUCUCUCUUCAGAGAAGCUGUUCCGCACGAAGAUUCCCCAGAAGAAUAUUUGUAGUAUCCAACUGUAACAAGAGAAAGUUUGAAAUAACCUGAACACCCAAGCAAAGGCCCUUAGUCAGAUCAAUGAUAGCAUAACAAAAUGGGAGAGGAGCCAUCAUUUUCAAAUGUGGUGUCUGAAGGAUAUUUUAAUGUUAUGGAAAGUUGAUAAUGCUACAGUAAACAUCCUUGUACUGGAUUAUGUGCACUUGUGCAAGAAAUUCUGUAGGAUAUAUUUUCUGGAGUGAAAUCGCUUGUUCAGAAAGUUUACUCAUUUUUUUAUUUAAUAGAUAUUGAGGAGGGGGAAGAAAAACAACUUCAAAAAGAUUGUACAAACUUAUAAUCACACAGCAAUAAUCAGUUGGAUGAGAUUUUUCCAAGGGAUCAUUUUUAAUCCCUCCGUCUUGGUCUAGGAACAAGCUGGAAUGCUCUACAAGAAACUCUAAAACACCAACUGGUCUUUUCACUCAAAUGCGUAUCAUUUUACUGGAAAGAUGUGUGGAGAAGCUAUCUGUAAAAAGUUACGCAUGCAAAGCAUAUUAUGUUACUGAAUUAAAAGUACAGCCGUUUCAAUACAGAGUUGAAAACAUUUUUUUAAACCUCCUAAAGGGUUUGGUCUAUGUAAAGAUAGUUCAGCUUUGUGUAUAAAUGCUAUGAGUCACGAAUGUGUUCUGGCCCCAGUUUCCUUAUUUUUAAAAAGAGGGGUUAGAAUCUGAGGUCCAUUGUAGCUCUAACGAUUUUAUGAUUUCACAGUUCCUCUCAUCAACUGAUUGUAAUGACCAGGAGAACUGCGGCUCAUAAGAAUGACAUCUUGGAUUACAGGUUCUGUUUAAUCUUCAUAAAAGCCUUUUGAAGUCUAAGAAUCAUUGUAUCCAUUUUACAAAGAGGAAACUGAAGCACAGAAAGGUCAAGUAACUUGCCUGAGGCCACAGAGCCAUGGGUAGCAGAGCCAAGUUCUUUCUCUUUCCCUCCCUUCCUUCCUUCUAGUCAACAGAUAGAAACCAAUGUCAAAGUAGACCCUAUGGAAUUGUUACCAUUGCAUGCCCUGGCUUAGAUAGACAGUGUUUAUUUCCGUGUUCCAAGGGAGAAGACUCAAGUUACACCCAAUUGAAUGUAUAAAUCCAAACUUGGCUUAGCUUUUUUAUGCUUUAAGAUUAAGAGACUUUUCAUGUUUUUUAUUUUUAUGUCUCAUAAUUUUUACAGGAUGCCGAAAUAAAGGCAGAAAAGAAUCACGAGGGAACUCUCUUUAAAGUCAAAUCCAGUCACUUUCUCUGGCACAUCCAAAUUAAUAUGCUCCCGCAGGCAGGUUGCUGUGGUCCACAGAGAGGUCUGCACUGUUUCCCUUUUCUUGUUAAUGAAGGGUCAUCCCUGAUGUGAAUGUGGGGGAAUGUUGAGAAUCAGGUGAGACUAAGUAUGCAGGGCAGGGUCUCAGUACACGCUGGCCACUGCCUUCCCCUGAACCCCCAGUCCCUCCAGGCUUCCAGGCACAGACGGCUCAGGACAUCUUAGCAUUUUGUGCCAGGCAAGAGCCUAAGCCUCUUUCCAAAUCUACAUCAUGUUGGAAAUGUUUUUUUCCUUCAAAUCAUUUGAAUGUUCCACAUAUCCACAUAUCAAAAAAAACCCACAAAACAACAACAAAAAAUCUUUCAUUUUAAACUUUCUUGUUGACCCUAAGUGUUCUUAAUAAAGCACUUUGAGAAUGGGAGAAAAUAUUUGCAAAUGAAGCAACUGACAAAGGAUUAACCUCCAAAAUAUACAAGUAGAGCUCAUGCAGCUCAAUAUCAAUAAA